rnacentral:pre_miRNA from 15 species
UGAUCCCCCUUUGUUGACUCCGAGGGGAUGCAGCAGCAAUUCAUGUUUUGAAGUGCUCUAAAUGGUUCAAAACGUGAGGCGCUGCUAUACCCCCUCGAGGGGAAAGUGGAAGGUGGGAU